CCUCACCUCCCGGCCGGUCUAGCUUGAGGAUGUCCCGCAGAUGUUGCGUCGCGUCCUCAAUGUCGAUGCUGGAGGAGGAGGCCAUGGGGCCCGGCCCGCGCAGAGCACCAGAGCAGCGCAGCCCGGGCUGCCCCUGCCCGCCGCCUGCGCUUCCGCCUCCGGCCCGACUCCUAAUGCGCCGGGCGGAAACCGCCGCCGG